rnacentral:rRNA from 1 species
UUCCGGUUGAUCCUGCCGGACCCCACUGCUAUCGAGAUGGGACUAAAGUAUGCUAGUCGAACGACCAGAACUAUGUCUGGGAGUGGCACACUGCUCAGUAACACGUAGCUAACCUACCCUUAGGACGUGGAUACCCCCGAGAAAUUGGGGUUAAUCCGCGAUAGAUGUAAUGUCCUGGAAUGGUAUUACGUCUAAAGGUAUUUCAUACAUGUUUGAAAUAUGCCUAAGGAUGGGGCUGCGGCCGAUCAGGCUGUUGGUGAGGUAAUGGCUCACCAAACCUUUGACCGGUACGGGCCAUGAGAGUGGUAGCCCGGAGAUGGACACUGAGACAAGGGUCCAGGCCCUAAGGGGCGCAGCAACCGCGAAACCUCCACAAUGCACUUACGUGCGAAGGGGCUACCUCGAGUGCCACCUGAUGAAGGUGGCUUUUCCUAGGUCUAAAAAGCCUUGGGAAUAAGAGGGGGGCAAGACUGGUGUCAGCCGCCGCGGUAACACCAGCCCCUCGAGUGGUGGGGAUGAUUAUUGGACCUAAAGCGUCCGUAGCCUGCCGUGUAAGUUUCCCGUUAAAUCUAGCGUCUUAAGCGUUGGACUGCGGGAAAUACUGUACGGCUAGAGAGUGGGAGAGGACAGCGGUAUUCUGGGGGUAGGGGCGAAAUCCUUUGAUCCCCGGAGGACCACCAGUGGCGAAGGCUGCUGUCUAGAACACGUCUGACGGUCAGGGACGAAAGCUGGGGUAGCGAACCGGAUUAGAUACCCGGGUAGUCCCAGCCGUAAACGAUGCAUGCUAGGUGUUGGGUUGGCCACGAGCCACCCCAGUGCCGCAGGGAAGCCGUUAAGCAUGCCGCCUGGGAAGUACGAUCGCA